AUUCCAUUUCACUUCACAGCUACCGAUCGUCCCGAUAUACUAAAUCUCGUAGUGGACUCUGACACCAGUCAUCCUGACCUCGCCCGAUUCCCGUACACCGACUACGCUACCUGUGGCGUCAUGGAAACUCACUAUUUCGGAUAUCAAUGCACAUUGUGGGUGUCCGACGAAACCAAGGACUCAAUUUCUCAAGAGUGUCUCCGGCAGUACGCUGACAUCUGCGGAGAAAGUGUCUCUCUGUACGACAAAGAUAUGUGCGGAAAUGGCACGCAACAUUAAGUUAUACU